CCGCCCGUAGCUCAAUCUGGCAGAGCAGCAGCCUUUUAAGCUGAUGGUUCCAGGUUCAAUUCCUGGCGGGCGGA
rnacentral:tRNA from 1 species